rnacentral:rRNA from 1 species
AUUGAACGCUGGCGGCAGGCCUAACACAUGCAAGUCGAGCGGAUGAAGGGAGCUUGCUCCUGGAUUCAGCGGCGGACGGGUGAGUAAUGCCUAGGAAUCUGCCUGGUAGUGGGGGAUAACGUCCGGAAACGGGCGCUAAUACCGCAUACGUCCAGAGGGCGAAAGGGGGGGAGCUUCGGACCUCCCGCUCUCACGUGAGCCUAGGUCGGAUUAGCUAGUUGGUGGGGUAAAGGCCUACCAAGGCGACGAUCCGUAACUGGUCUGAGAGGAUGAUCAGUCACACUGGAACUGAGACACGGUCCAGACUCCUACGGGAGGCAGCAGUGGGGAAUAUUGGACAAUGGGCGAAAGCCUGAUCCAGCCAUGCCGCGUGUGUGAAGAAGGUCUUCGGGUUGUAAAGCACUUUAAGUUGGGAGGAAGGGCAGUAAGUUAAUACCUUGCUGUUUUGACGUUACCAACAGAAUAAGCACCGGCUAACUUCGUG